AAUCAAUGGCUGUCAGGGAGCUGUGUGUGAAGUCAACUGUUAGGUCCAAACAAAAAAGAUAACAUGCCAAGCCAAGGCUGUGUGGCUUCCUGGUUUGGUGCCAUGUCACUCAAAGUAUCUAGGGAUCCACAGGUCAGCACUGCCUAGGAGUGUAUAAGAAAUGUAGCCUUUCGGGUCAUGCCUGGAAUCUGCUAAACGAGCCUCUGCCUGUUAGCCAUGUCUCUAGGUGGCUCAUGUAAACAUUAAUGUCUGAAGGUUUAGAGCUCUGUAGGCAGGCUGCCUAAAUUCUGGUUCUGUACUUACUACAUCUGUGACCUAGGCAAGUGAUUUAACAUCUCUAAGCUUCUAUUUCUUCAUCUAGGCAAAGGGGAAAACAUCAAGCUGACAUCCAGCAGCUCUCAGGCUUGCCUAAGGCUAUGUAUAUGGAAGUGGUUAACACAAGCUUAUAACUGGUAAAUGCCCAAUUAAUGCCAGCAGUUGUUAUUAAAAACCCAGUGUCCAAAACAAGAGGCAGAAUGAUGGUCAAACUGACCACUCCAGGUAAUAGGAUGUUCCCAAAGGAAUGAAUUGGUAAAACUAAGAUAAAGCUACCACCAACCCAGCCACCCUCCCCAGAUACAUCAAUUUAUCACUCCAAAUGUUUGGAGGGCUCCAUCCUGCAGAGUACUUGAACCAGAUCUGGCCCAUCUUCUCGGACUUACAGUUCAAGAUUCAAGAUGGACAAGAUAGGCUGAGAGCCAACAUAAACAUUGGAAUGGGCCCUGAAUCAGUUUCCUGAUUAGAUCAGCAAACACAAGCAGGGCCGCCUGAAGGACUCAUUCCCAGAGGACAGAUGCAGAUAGGAAUCAGGUCAACCUCAGGCCCUGCCCAGUAGUGGUUUAUGGCCAGAAGGAAGAGAAAGGCAGUAGGAUUGGACUCCCCCACCUCCAUUUUAGACAGUGCCAUCAGCUGACAAUAGAGACACAGUAAGUUUCCAGAGUAAUAGCAGCAACACCUAACCUUUUUUGAGAGCUCACAGUGUUCUAAGGGUUUAACAUAUUGAAUCCUCUCAACAACCCUAUACGGUCCAGACCAUUAUUUAUUUUAUCUCAUUUUACGAUAUUAAAACCAAGGCUUAGAGCACUUAAGUUAUUUACUAUAUGACUCAUCACACCAGCAGUAAGUGGCAGGACCAGGAUUUGGGUCAAGUGUACAGUGCCCCUCUCAUCUCAUCUGUGCCUUGGCUGACCAUUGCACUCCUGCUGUCUAUCUAUCCUGUGUGGCCCAGAAAAGGCAAGGGUGGGCUGGCUGAAGCAGGCAGCAAGGGGCCUGCCCCACCUUUGGAAGGAUAGAUUCCAGAUCCUGCCUGAGGGAGGGCUUCUCAUCUUACUCAGCGUCAGCUACAAACAAGUGGUGACACUUUCUGGGAUGCCUAUUCCUAUCCUGAGCAACAGCAACAUAGAAAUUCAAAAGAUGGAAUCACAGAAGCAGUUUAUCACCCUAAGAACAAAGAUAGGCAUCUGUCAACAAAGGCACAUGAUCAUAGCAAAAUUACCCAUAAGACCACACCUUUGAAGAGCUAUUUAUCUAAUACACAUCACAAAAACUUCAUGAAAAUAAAAAAUGUUAUGACUCUUACAUGCUGGCACACUUGGAAGGCAAAUCAUCACUCAGAAGUCAACAGACUCCAUUGUAUCUUGAACUCUAUCACCCAUCAUCGUUAGCAAAGGAUGCUGUACACGGUCUUAAGAAGAUACACAGGAUCAGGCAAUGACAAUGUCAUCUGCUACAGAGGCAUGGAGAGCUGCUUUCAAAUCUUGCCUCCACUUCUCAUAGAUUGAGACUUUGGUCAAAUCAUUUAAUCUCCCUGGACGCAUUUCCUUACUGGUAGAUGGGAGGCUAAUAACAAAUACUCCCUAGGGUUACAGUAAGGAUUAAAUAAUGAGUGAAAGCCAGACCCAUAACAAGACAUCACUACAGAGAUCAGAUGGUAUACAGAAAAUUACUAUGA